ensembl:lncRNA novel transcript
AUACUCAGAGAGAAGCUGCAAUGUGGGCAACCGCCACACUCAUUUUACUCAGCAUUCCUGGAGGGCAAGAGGGCAAUUCCUAAGGGCCUGUCUAUGGCGGUGCAGCUAAUGGGAAAACAGGAGAGGAGCCUGCCACUCUAGCAAAGAGAAUUUCCAGCUCUGCGUCUCCAGGGAGUAAGAAAAGAGAAAUGGAAAAUAGAAAACAAAGCUGGCUGCUUCAACAGUAACUCAGUGCUCUCCAUAACAGCAAUCCCAUGCAUGGUCUCCAGAGGUACAUCUCAGUUCCCUUUUCAAUACCCAAAGCUCCACAUUUUCUGUACUGGCUACACUCUCAGACAGUCUCUCCUCUCCUGGAAGCAGGAUGACUGCAGCAUCUCCAGCAUAAAUUGUUCUUGGUUCAAGUUUAACUGCAGAAGAAAAAAGCACCACUUCCUGAAAGUCCCAAAUAAACCCUGGAAUUCAUUUUGUUAGAAAAAA